rnacentral:misc_RNA from 1 species
GCAAACUUGGUCAUUUAGAGGAAGUAAAAGUCGUAACAAGGUUUCCGUAGGUGAACCUGCGGAAGGAUCAUUACCGAGUUAGGGUCUGCCUCUGCGCGGCCCGACCUCCCAACCCCGUGUCUUAACGUUACCUCUUGUUGCUUCGGCGGACCGGUUGACCAACUGGUUUCGACCGCCGGGGACCUGUGUGCCCUGGAGAGCGUCCGCCGAUGGCCAAACACAAACCUUCUUGAUACCAAAAUUUUGUUGCCUGAAUAGACCUGAUUGACACAAUCAAAAACAAAACUUUCAACAACGGAUCUCUUGGUUCUGGCAUCGAUGAAGAACGCAGC